GGGGAAUUUUCCGCAAUGGGCGAAAGCCUGACGGAGCAAGACCGCGUGGGGGAAGAAGGCUCUUGGGUUGUAAACCCCUUUUCUCUGGGAAGAACGCAAUGACGGUACCAGAGGAAUCAGCAUCGGCUAACUCCGUGCCAGCAGCCGCGGUAAGACGGAGGAUGCAAGCGUUAUCCGGAAUGAUUGGGCGUAAAGCGUCCGCAGGUGGCAGUUCAAGUCUGCUGUCAAAGACCGGGGCUCAACCUCGGAAAGGCAGUGGAAACUGAACAGCUAGAGUAUGGUAGGGGCAAAGGGAAUUCCUGGUGUAGCGGUGAAAUGCGUAGAGAUCAGGAAGAACAUCGGUGGCGAAGGCGCUUUGCUGGACCAUAACUGACACUCAGGGACGAAAGCUAGGGGAGCGAAUGGGAUUAGAUACCCCAGUAGUCCUAGCCGUAAACGAUGGAUACUAGGUGUUGUCUGUAUCGACCCGGACAGUGCCGUAGCUAACGCGUUAAGUAUCC
rnacentral:rRNA from 1 species